CUGAUACGAAAAGCAAUUUUCUCCCUUUCCCCACCCAGGGACUCAACCAUACCCAAGACUAAUGACUUUUGUAUUCCUGCUCUGUGGUUUGGUGGUAACCUGCAGAACUUGAAGAGGCACCAGCAGGUUACCUGUUCCCAGCUGCAGGCUUGUGUGCUGCUCGUCUGCACAGCCCGUACUGACUGGUAGCUGGGUCUGACCAUUGCUCUGCAGUGGACUGAACGAUCUUCAGUCCCUAAUGCAGCCAGGGCACUCCCCUGCUUGCUUUUGCCACUGGCAGCACAGAAUAAGCCCUAGAGAGCAAAGUGCAGCAGCAGCAGCAUCCCUGCCAGGCCGCAACCCUCUGCAAAUUCAGGCUGUCACCGGACCAACAGAAACUUUCAUUGUGGAGCAAUUCUUCUACCGGUGGUUUAAAACCAGUCUGUGCCACUUGCUCCUUGACCGGCUUACUGUGGUCUGCAGUGACAAGGACUUGCCUCUCCACAGAGACACUGAGGGCCUGAAAAAGUGGUAGGAGACUCUUCUCUUCAACUGAGAUGUCCAGUGACUGACAUGAUAAAGCUAUAAAGGUAUAGUACAGCCCAAUCUCAC
rnacentral:lncRNA from 14 species